ensembl:sense_intronic Gm43113 predicted gene 43113
UUGAUAAAACAGCAACAUCCCACACCAUCCACAGACAUGCAGUUUUCACCUCCUGAAUUCUCUUCCAUGUACUCAAAUACUAAAAGCUUGUGUGCAUGGUAAUAAAUAAAUAAGAUUUCUUUUAAUGGAUCCAGACUUACCUGAGGACAACUGUAGGGUUAAUACAACAAAGAUUCCUCUUUACUUUGUGUGUGUGUAUCUGUGUGCAUGCAUGUGUGUGUGUGUGUUAAAAGAUGAACUAAGACACCACUUUUUGCUGACUCUGAGCUCUCCUAUUUGGUUGGUCUUACUAGUCAGCUUUCCCUGCAGCUCGCCUAAAUGCCUACUAAGCUGGGAUUAUAAAUAAGCAAGCCACUAUGCUUGCCUGGAUUUUUUUAUAUAUGUAUGGGUGCUGGGAAUCCAAACUCCAGCAUUCAUGCUUGCACGGCAAGCCCCACCACUGAGCCAUCUUUCCAGACUCCACAGCUUUUUCUUUAAUGGUAGAAAACUGCAUACAUACAAGAGGUUAGAGUCUAUGUCAAUGUUUCUCCCCUCUGGCCAUCACCCAUUCUCCCCAUGCUACUCAGUUGAUCUACAACAAACACAAGCCAACUGUGUUCAUUUUGAACCAUUUUACUGUGUAUUUUUAUACACAGUUGGUUUUUUAUUUUAGUUAUGUGUAUGGGUAUGUGCUUACGUAGGUGCCCAUGGGGGCCAUGGAGGUCUCAGGAAUCCCAAGAACUAGAGUGUGUAACGUUUGCUGUCACUUCAACAGUUGCCCGAUUAUCUGUCAGAUGUCUCAGAAUCUCUGCCUUUGUGUUUAAGUAAUUCUUAACUUUGCAUAAAAUGGGCACAGAACACAGAAGUAGUGAGGAAUUGCAGGCAUUCAAGAAAACACAUGAAAAGACAUUAAUUCUACCAUUGAUGGCAAGGCUAUAGAAAACAGGAAAAAUUCUAAUAUGUUUAGAAUUUCCCUGAAUGCACAAUUUCAGUUUGAAGCCUUGAAAACCAUCCCUCUUGGGAGAAUAGGAUUUCUGUGUGGUGAAAUACAUUAAUUCUUGAAGUCAGACCUAUGAACCAAGAUAUAUUCAGAAAAUCUAUCCAUCCCUGGCCCUCCCUGCCCUGUACAUUUUUCUUAGAUCUUGUGAUAUGCCUUCCGUUAAGUAAUACGUCAUUGCUGUACCUUCCAAUAAGCCAUGAAUUGUAUUAAUUUUACAUAAGAAGGGAGGAACAAGAAAGGAGGUUGGAAUUCUUCCUAAUAGGAAUAAGUAAAUCUAUCUCUAGUUAUGACUUGUUUUCUUAGAUCAGUGCUGGUGUGCUUCUGUUUGUGGCACAAGAGCACUUACCAACAGCCACGCCAUUUUAAGGAGAAUUUCAAACAAACAAACAAACAAACAAACAAACAAAAAACAAAAACAAAAACAAAAGGAGAAGACUAUCAAUGCAAACCACUUUUAUGUUUAAGGAAAGGAUACAAAUAUAAGAUUCAUAUUGCAAAACCUAAUUUUGCAUUGAGACUCUCACCAAAGAUUUAGGAAUGGAUGGAUGCAUUUUGAAAGAGAGAGAGAGAGAGAGAGAGAGAGAGAGAGAGAGAUCUGUGUUCACUGCCCUAGCUGCGGGAGAGCUCUUCAGAGUCUACCAUUUUACAGGCAGCAAGUGAAAAUAUAACUCUUAAGACUCAUGCCACAAACCCCUAAUGCCUAGUCGACUUCUAAAAGAUUGCAUCUAGUUACAAGAUACACAAUUCAAAGCU